CGCGUAGGCGGCCUUCUAAGUCGAACGUGAAAUCCCCGGGCUCAACCCGGGAACUGCGUCCGAGACUAAAAGGCUUGAAUCCGGGAGAGGGAUGUGGAAUUCCAGGUGUAGCGGUGAAAUGCGUAGAUAUCUGGAGGAACAUCGGUGGCGAAGGCGGCAUCCUGGACCGGUAUUGACGCUGAGGCGCGAAAGCCAGGGGAGCAAAC
rnacentral:rRNA from 1 species